UGAACAGACAGCGGUGUUUGGUCGUCGAGCACAUGGAACUAUAAUCAGACAAAUGACGGCGCGAACCAUCCUUUCAUAUGUUCGUUCCCCUUCACAUAUACAGAGCAGCAUUCGAAUUAAUGAAACUAACGAACACCAGGUAAUGGUGAAAACUCCAGAAAGAAGACCGGUCAAAGGAUACAACCAUCUGGAACUAUUUUGGGGCUUCACCUCGUGGUUGACCGGUCUAAACUUCACUCAAAUGGUGUUCCUAUUCUACCGAACGGAUCUGAGCAAUAUUUUGACAGAGUGGGCGCUCAGAUCCCUGCUAUUCGGUGAAGUAUCUUUCGUGGAGUUAUG